AAGGACUUUGGUUCGAAUCCCUUGGCAUGCAAAGGUUGAUUAUUUUGCUAUGUUGGGACAGCAAGAGUUGGUGUUGGUUUUAAACUCUGGUGAUGGAGGGAUCCCACAUCGGGAAGCUAACAUAAGAGUAGAUGGAGAGCUGGCUUUAAAUAGAGCAAACCAUGAGGAAGUAGGCAUACCGUUCUUGGCUGAUCCCUUUCGCUUUUU
rnacentral:lncRNA from 1 species